GUGUGAUUGAAGAAAUAAAUUUGUUGAGGAAAGCCAUGUGGCCUUGAACAUGCUUUGUAGGUUUCAAGAAAAUAUGGAUACAUAUCAUAACUUAAUUACACAGUUCAUGCAUGAUAAACAAUUGGAUAGUGGAAAAGGAAUUCUUCUWCAUUUGUGUGAUGAUGUGAUUCAACAAGAAAUGUUCCAUUUGAAAAACAUCAACCAACGCAAACAGUGAGCCAUCUUAGAUUUUCAAAAUCCAUUUCCCAUUUUUAUGUGGUAAUUAUUCAUUAAACUUAAGAUCAUGAUUCUAAUCAAACGCUUUACCUUUGUUAUGAGCAUGAUGAGGAGUAGAGUUAGCGUUGUUAACUUUUCUAUCCACCAGAACCUGCAAACAGUUACUU